GACUAACGUUGGCGGCGUGCAUAAUACAUGCAAGGUCACACGGGACGGUGGGCGAACUCAGUUCAGUGGCGAACGGGUGAGUAACACGUGGAUGAUCUACCUUCAAGAUCGGGAUAACUAGCCGAAAGGUUAGCUAAUACCGGGUAUGACCACGGCCAGUAUCGUCUGGUCGAGGUAAGAGCUGGGGACCGCAAGGCCUAGCGCUUGAAGAUGAGUCCGCGGCUGAUUAGCUAGUUGGCGGGGUAAUGGCCCACCAAGGCGACGAUCAGUAGCCGGCCUGAGAGGGUGACCGGCCACACUGGGACUGAGACACGGCCCAGACUCCUACGGGAGGCAGCAGUAGGGAAUUUUCCACAAUGGGCGAAAGCUGAUGAGCAACGCCGCGUGAGGGA
rnacentral:rRNA from 1 species